GAUGAACGCUGGCGGCGUGCCUAAUACAUGCAAGUCGAGCGAACGGACGAGAAGCUUGCUUCUCUGAUGUUAGCGGCGGACGGGUGAGUAACACGUGGAUAACCUACCUAUAAGACUGGGAUAACUUCGGGAAACCGGAGCUAAUACCGGAUAAUAUUUUGAACCGCAUGGUUCAAAAGUGAAAGACGGUCUUGCUGUCACUUAUAGAUGGAUCCGCGCUGCAUUAGCUAGUUGGUAAGGUAACGGCUUACCAAGGCAACGAUGCAUAGCCGACCUGAGAGGGUGAUCGGCCACACUGGAACUGAGACACGGUCCAGACUCCUACGGGAGGCAGCAGUAGGGAAUCUUCCGCAAUGGGCGAAAGCCUGACGGAGCAACGCCGCGUGAGUGAUGAAGGUCUUCGGAUCGUAAAACUCUGUUAUUAGGGAAGAACAUAUAUGUAAGUAACUGUGCACAUCUUGACGGUACCUAAUCAGAAAGCCACGGCUAACUACGUGCCAGCAGCCGCGGUAAUACGUAGGUGGCAAGCGUUAUCCGGAAUUAUUGGGCGUAAAGCGCGCGUAGGCGGUUUUUUAAGUCUGAUGUGAAAGCCCACGGCUCAACCGUGGAGGGUCAUUGGAAACUGGAAAACUUGAGUGCAGAAGAGGAAAGUGGAAUUCCAUGUGUAGCGGUGAAAUGCGCAGAGAUAUGGAGGAACACCAGUGGCGAAGGCGACUUUCUGGUCUGUAACUGACGCUGAUGUGCGAAAGCGUGGGGAUCAAACAGGAUUAGAUACCCUGGUAGUCCACGCCGUAAACGAUGAGUGCUAAGUGUUAGGGGGUUUCCGCCCCUUAGUGCUGCAGCUAACGCAUUAAGCACUCCGCCUGGGGAGUACGACCGCAAGGUUGAAACUCAAAGGAAUUGACGGGGACCCGCACAAGCGGUGGAGCAUGUGGUUUAAUUCGAAGCAACGCGAAGAACCUUACCAAAUCUUGACAUCCUUUGACAACUCUAGAGAUAGAGCUUUCCCCUUCGGGGGACAAAGUGACAGGUGGUGCAUGGUUGUCGUCAGCUCGUGUCGUGAGAUGUUGGGUUAAGCCCCGCAACGAGCGCAACCCUUAAGCUUAGUUGCCAUCAUUAAGUUGGGCACUCUAAGUUGACUGCCGGUGACAAACCGGAGGAAGGUGGGGAUGACGUCAAAUCAUCAUGCCCCUUAUGAUUUGGGCUACACACGUGCUACAAUGGACAAUACAAAGGGCAGCGAAACCGCGAGGUCAAGCAAAUCCCAUAAAGUUGUUCUCAGUUCGGAUUGUAGUCUGCAACUCGACUACAUGAAGCUGGAAUCGCUAGUAAUCGUAGAUCAGCAUGCUACGGUGAAUACGUUCCCGGGUCU
rnacentral:rRNA from 1 species